rnacentral:tRNA from 1 species
GUUCCUGUCGUGCAAUGGAUAGCACGUUGGACUUCUAAUUCGAAGGUCGUGUGUUCGAAUCUCACCUGGGAUG